rfam:Novosphingobium sp. AAP93 AAP93_Contigs_49, whole genome shotgun sequence.
GCGGGAGUCGGGCGGACGUUAGCUGUCGCCAACCUGGUCAGGUCCGGAAGGAAGCAGCCACAACGAUGUGCGGCGGGUCGCCCGGCUCCUUCAAU